rnacentral:rRNA from 1 species
GCGGGGGGCGAAGCUUGCUUCGCCUGCCGGCGACCGGCGCACGGGUGAGUAACACGUAUGCGACCUGCCCCCCGCAGGGGGAUAACCGGGAGAAAUCCCGACUAAUACCGCGUAACGCCGCGGACCUGCAUGGGUCUGCGGCCAAAGGAAGCGAUUCCGGCGGGGGAUGGGCAUGCGGCGCAUUAGCUAGUCGGCGGGGUAACGGCCCACCGAGGCGACGAUGCGUAGGGGUUCUGAGAGGAAGGUCCCCCACACUGGUACUGAGACACGGACCAGACUCCUACGGGAGGCAGCAGUGAGGAAUAUUGGUCAAUGGGCGGGAGCCUGAACCAGCCAAGUCGCGUGAGGGAAGACGGUCCUACGGAUUGUAAACCUCUUUUGCCGGGGAGCAACGGGGUCCUUGCGAGGGCCCAAUGAGAGUACCCGGAGAAAAAGCAUCGGCUAACUCCGUGCCAGCAGCCGCGGUAAUACGGAGGAUGCGAGCGUUAUCCGGAUUUAUUGGGUUUAAAGGGUGCGUAGGCGGGCUGUUAAGUCAGCGGUCAAAUGUCGGGGCUCAACCCCGGCCUGCCGUUGAAACUGGCGGCCUCGAGUGGGCGAGAAGUAUGCGGAAUGCGUGGUGUAGCGGUGAAAUGCAUAGAUAUCACGCAGAACUCCGAUUGCGAAGGCAGCAUACCGGCGCCCGACUGACGCUCAUGCACGAAAGCGUGGGUAU